rnacentral:rRNA from 1 species
UAGGGAAUCUUCCACAAUGGACGCAAGUCUGAUGGAGCAACGCCGCGUGAGUGAAGAAGGUCUUCGGAUCGUAAAGCUCUGUUGUUGGUGAAGAAGGAUAGAGGCAGUAACUGGUCUUUAUUUGACGGUAAUCAACCAGAAAGUCACGGCUAACUACGUGCCAGCAGCCGCGGUAAUACGUAGGUGGCAAGCGUUGUCCGGAUUUAUUGGGCGUAAAGCGAGCGCGGGCGGAAUGAUAAGUCUGAUGUGAAAGCCCACGGCUCAACCGUGGAACUGCAUCGGAAACUGUCAUUCUUGAGUGCAGAAGAGGAGAGUGGAACUCCAUGUGUAGCGGUGGAAUGCGUAGAUAUAUGGAAGAACACCAGUGGCGAAGGCGGCUCUCUGGUCUGCAACUGACGCUGAGGCUCGAAAGCAUGGGUAGCGAACAGGAUUAGAUACCCUGGUAGUCCAUGCCGUAAACGAUGAGCGCUAGGUGUUGGGGACUUUCCGGUUCUCAGUGCCGCAGCAAACGCAUUAAGCGCUCCGCCUGGGGAGUACGACCGCAAGGUUGAAA